rnacentral:rRNA from 1 species
GACGAACGCUGGCGGCGUGCUUAACACAUGCAAGUCGAACGGAAAGGCCCUGCUUUUGUGGGGUGCUCGAGUGGCGAACGGGUGAGUAACACGUGAGUAACCUGCCCUUGACUUUGGGAUAACUUCAGGAAACUGGGGUUAAUACCGGAUAGGAGCUCCUGCUGCAUGGUGGGGGUUGGAAAGUUUCGGCGGUUGGGGAUGGACUCGCGGCUUAUCAGCUUGUUGGUGGGGUAGUGGCUUACCAAGGCUUUGACGGGUAGCCGGCCUGAGAGGGUGACCGGCCACAUUGGGACUGAGAUACGGCCCAGACUCCUACGGGAGGCAGCAGUGGGGAAUAUUGCACAAUGGGCGGAAGCCUGAUGCAGCAACGCCGCGUGCGGGAUGACGGCCUUCGGGUUGUAAACCGCUUUCGCCUGUGACGAAGCGUGAGUGACGGUAAUGGGUAAAGAAGUACCGGCUAACUACGUG